CAUCACAGGGAAGCUCAUUACCGAAGCCUUGGUUUGCACUGGACAUGGUUGGGAAUGGCCGCCAGAAACUUUCCAGGCCUGGCCUAUUUGCUCACUUCGUAGCUGAGGACAGAGUGGGAAGGAGAGGUUCAGGGCAGGGUGGCUGCAGGAGCACCUACACCAGCUCUGCCUGGCUGCAGAGCCUCAGCUUCCUGGUUGUUAGGAUUACAGGGGUGUGUCACAAUGCCUCAUAUGGAAAUAUGAAGCCGCUCUCCAGUUCUGUGAGGGGAGAAGCCACUGUGUAGAGAGAGGUACCUAAGAAUCCUCACAGCAACUAAACACGAUCGUGGUCCCGGCACAACCUCUAACCUUUAGGCUGUCCAUCACUGACUGGGCUUGGCCUCCUGUGGAACACAAAAUGGAGCCUUCUGUUCCUUUUGUUGGUGAUGUCGAGCAGAAAGAGUUUUCCUAGUCCCUGGCAGCUGUGGCAUGGAAUGCAUCCCUCCCUGGCAUUAGCUAUGGCUAUCACUUAGGGGAGAAUGAAACACUGUCUGAUGUCUGAUUGUCUCCAGGCACCGAAGGUCUGUAUACUAGAAGAUUCAGGCUCCGAGCAGGCUUAGCCAACUUAGAAGACUCUGCUUGACAAUUAACUCUUUUAUCUUCAAGAGUUUCAUAAAUACAAAGAGCCAAGUUUGGAGACCAGGACACUGUUUAAGUUUCUGCGGUUGUGCAUCCUCUACGUGGUAGCCAUUGGCCUCAAGGCUUACUGCCUACCCAGUAGCAUCCUCAUCUCAGCUGUGCCAAAUUCCGAGGAAGUUUUGAAAUGUCACAGUCGAGAUUAGAAACACAGAAAAGUGCAGACACCUGAGUCCGGUGAAGUGUCUUUACAUUCAUGACAUUAUAGACAAGACUUCACGAA